AAGUUUCUUGUUAUGCAUCUUUUUUCUGUUGUUAUUGUUGCUAUGUUUAAAAAUAGAGCAAAGGUUAAGAAAAGGACAUCUCUCAUUAAGCCCCCUUUAAUUAGUAAUCCAUUCUCUACUGUAGGAAUUCUUUUGCAGGUAAGCAUGUGUUAGUGAAUGCGAUAUACUGAGCCUGAAACAGAAUUAACCAUUUCUCUUCCUUUUUAAAUUGUUGAAGCAUUUUCUUAACUUUAUUCAAAAGCAGAAUAAAAGAACACCCCUCUCCCUUUAAGAUGAUUUAUGAAGAAGAAAAUAUCAGCAUUUCACACUGAAAAGUUCUUACAGACUGUUGAAUUUUUUUUUCUUUCUCUUUACUCCUUACCUGGGUCUUCUGUCUUCUUCUAAGAUUAGCCACAUAGUUUGCUGAAGAAAAGGAUUGGUAUGGUUUCACAGAAGCUCUGACAUACUGUGACCUAACCCCUUCCACCAAAUGACUCAGAACACUGGGGACUAUCUUAUCAAAGGAGGAAAAGCAGUAGAAUUUGGUAUAUGGUCUAGGGCACUAAGUCAAAAACUGGGACAAGGUUGUCAAAGUAAAAUAAACAGUCUGUAAACCUGACUAUGGAGUUGAUUGGCCUCAGAAAGGAAGCUGGACCACUUCCCCCUCUCCCCUUCAUCCCCAAUGGGUCAUGGUUUAACUCCUUGUGGGCCAUCACUUACCUAGAAGAUGAUCCUUUUGUACCAAGACAGGACCUGGAAUUUGGCCUUCACUUUUAUCCCUGGUGAGAAAUUGUGUUGAAUAUGGCAGCAAUAAGGUGAAGCUCUUUGUCUGGGAGUAAAGGUCUGGCAUUGUCUUAUUCACAAUAAACUUAGAAACAUUUCCAGCUGAAGCAUUUCAUUAUAUCUCUGUGCCAGCUUGACACAUGUGAAUGGUGCAAACAAGAAAGCUUAUUUUGAUUUUAACUCAAAAUAAACAUCUUUUGAAAAGUC